rnacentral:rRNA from 1 species
UACAGAGGGUGCGAGCGUUUAAUCGGAAUUACUGGGCGUAAAGCGUGCGUAGGCGGUUUGUCGCGCGGGAGUGAAAACCAGGUGCUUAACACCUGGCUUGCUUUCGAUACGGGCAGACUAGAGGUAUGCAGGGGAGAACGGAAUUCCUGGUGUAGCGGUGAAAUGCGCAGAUAUCAGGAGGAACACCGGUGGCGAAGGCGGUUCUCUGGGCAUGACCUGACGUGGAGGAGCGAAAGUGUGGGGAGCGGAACAGGGA